GCCUUCGUGGUGUAGUGGUCUGCAUGCUCGACCCGUAACCGAGAGGUCCGUGGUUCGAUUCCCGGCGAAGGCA
rfam:Stegodyphus mimosarum contig87737, whole genome shotgun sequence.